AUAGAAACAAUUAAGGAAAUAAAUAUCAACAAACCAAUAAAGUUUGGCAGUUAAAAUUUAUUAGAGAAAUUUGUUUCUUAAUCGUAAACUCCCGUUAAAUUUAACUUUUAGUUAAAACCUAUAUACCGCCGUUACAGAAAUAAAAUAAAUAUAACAUCUAAAUAAAUACAACACUAAAAAAUCAGGUCAAGGUAUAGCCUAUCUAUAAGUAGAAAUUAAUUACAUAUAAACACAAUUUAAGGAAUCAGUAUAAAAAUAUGUACAUGAAAAAGAAUCUAAAAACAAGUCCUCAAUUAAAAAUAUCGAUUGAAAUACUAUAUUUUAAUGC
rnacentral:rRNA from 1 species